CAGAGGGCCUUUCUCCUUCCGGCAGGGAUCUGCACCCCUAUUUAACAGACAUGCAAACUCAGAGAGGUAGGUUCACUUGCCCAAGGUCACCCAGCAAAGACAGCUCCAGGGCAUGAGCCACUGCUGUUUCCUCUCUACCGUGUUCCUGGGUCUGACACAGUGCCAGGAGCUCAGAAAAUAUUUACUGUUCGAACACCAAGUCCAAGAUUGAAGCACAGAUUGAGCUGACUGCAUCCCAUGUGCUUCCACCAUUGCCACACCUCCGUUUGAACAAAUAUUUGACCCCAGACACCAGUCAAAGGGCCUCCUUUGAGACAGUUGUUUUCUGAAGGCUUCUCUGAUAUGCGGCUGACACAGAUCUCUCCCUUCUCUGGAUUUCUGGUUCUUGUGGCUGUUCACUCAUUCAUUCAUUCACUCUUUCAUUUAAUAAACCUUCAGUGAUGCCUGCUGUGGGCCAGGCAUUGGAUAUAGACCCCAACAAUGGCCCUGCUGGUGAGCGGUCACAGCCCAUCAGAGGACUACAAUGGUGGCUGAUAUUUAUUGAGAGCAUAACUGAGUGCACAGGGAUGUGCUAAUGUUCACAGGAAUUAAUUUAUAAACCUUAACAUGAAACUAUUUGACAGAUGAGGAGACUGAGGCCCUGAGGGGUGAAAUCAUCUGCCUAGGUCACCCGACAUGGUAGACAGCCUCCUAAAAGGCUCCCAAUGAUCCUUGCCCAGUUAUUCACUAGUCACACAUUCUUUUGUGGUCCCCUCCCACAAGGAAUCAGGGUUGGUCUAUGUGCUCAAGAGAAUAUGGCAGAAGCAGUGGGGUGGGAUUUCCAAAAUGAGGUCAUAAAAAGAAUUACAGCUUCCAUCUUGCUUCCUUGGAUGGUUCUGUAAGGAUGCUCAAGCAGCCUUAUGGAGGGCCCAGUGGGGAGAAUCCGAGGCCCCUGGCCAAUGGCCAGUGUCAACUCGCCAGCCGUGUGAAUGAGCCACUUUGGAAGCAGACGUCCAGCCCCAGUCCAGCCUUCAGAUGAGGGCAGCCCUGGCCAACUGCAACCUCAUGAGAGAUCCUGAGUCAGAGCCAUCCAGCCUCACACCUUUGACAAGAUAGGACACAUCCUAGCCCUUGUCAACUUACCCUGGAUAGAAGACACGUGCCAAGCAAAGCAGUGUCCCCUACCAGACUGUGAGCCUGUGGGCGGCAGAGACGCAUCCCAUUCGUCCGUGGUUUUCCGCACCUGGCACUCAACAUCACUCAGCACGCCUACCAGGUGAAAUAAAGGAGCUACUGAGGCUUGAACUCGAGCCGAGCCAUAAAACUUCCAACAUCCUUCUCUCUAGCAGCUGAAUUUCCACAUUUCUGGAUCAGUGAAGGAGAGCAAGAUGUUCUUGGGGAACCACAAAUUAGAACUGGGACUAGGCAUAUGUGAUGUCCCCUAAGAAAUGUAUUUCUGAGCAGCGAGCUUGCUAUACUUGGCUGGACCGCCUCCUGAGCAGCAGCACCGAGUUUUAAGGAUCUCUGCGUGGAUAAUAAAAGAUUGAA